GGAAUUUUAGGAGUUAGGAAUAUUUGCAUAGACUUCACCAGUUGAGAAUCUCUAGCUAAUCUGAAAAUCCAAAAUGCCUCCAAAUUCCAAUUUAUUGAACAUCAUAUUGGUGCUUAAAAGGUUUCAUAUCUGGGGUUUCCAAAUUAGGGGUGCUCAAGCUGUUUCAUCUACACCACACACAAGAGCAUGGCACAUCUAGCACACCGUAGGUCCUGGAACACAAGAGUCUGGGUUAGUGCCCCAGCUCCUCAGGGUCUCCUUCGGCCCCCAGUCUGCCUGCCUUUGACUCCACUGUGGGCGGUCCCUGGGUCUUCCAGCUGGGAAGUCCACUUCUUAAGAGAGUGACAUCCCUCCCCUGAGGUGCCAUCAGCCUCUGGACCCCCAAGGAGAUCUCAGGAUGUAUCUGGUCCUCCCACUUGCAGCCCCUUCUACCAGGCAGUGAGAAGAGAGAAGAGAGCCUGACCAUUCAGAGACUGGGUCUCGUAUGACUGUGAGAGUGACCUAUGCCCUCACCAGCCUUAGUUUCCCCAUCUGUGUCACCAAGGGCUUGCCUUGCCAAUGAGAGCCUUCCUGAUCAUUCAUCGAGAGCAAUUCUGGAACAUCCUCCCAGAGUGAGCAGAGCCCCCUCAACUGGCCUCCAGUCCCCUGUCAGGCACUGACAGUGUGUGAGGGCCAGGAACGCCACAGCCUAAAGCAGAGGAGAGAGUGCCAUGGCUGGCCUCCCGUGAGCACUGGGUUGUGCCAGGGAAGGAGGGGCUGCCUGGCGCAGAGGGGAAUUCCUCCCCUCCCAUGGUGCCAGGAGUUAAGUCAAGUAAAUGCCAAGGAUUAGGGUUUGGGGAGACGGUGGGGACAGGUAAGCCCAUCUUGCCAGGCGUGGGCAAACGCGUCAUCCACCUAGCUGCUCUCUGCCUGCCUCCUGCCUCACCCCUACUUGGGUUCUGAAAUGGGAAGGGG
rnacentral:lncRNA from 1 species